rnacentral:rRNA from 1 species
GAUGAACGCUGGCGGCGUGCCUAAUACAUGCAAGUCGAGCGAACAGACGAGGAGCUUGCUCCUCUGACGUUAGCGGCGGACGGGUGAGUAACACGUGGAUAACCUACCUAUAAGACGGGGAUAACUUCGGGAAACCGGAGCUAAUACCGGAUAAUAUAUUGAACCGCAUGGCUCAAUAGUGAAAGACGGUUUUGCUGUCACUUAUAGAUGAAUCCGCGCCGCAUUAGCUAGUUGGUAAGGUAACGGCUUACCAAGGCAACGAUGCGUAGCCGACCUGAGAGGGUGAUCGGCCACCCUGGACCUGAGCCACGGUCCAGACUCCUACGGGAGGCAGCAGUAGGGAAUCUUCGGCAAUGGGCGAAAGCCUGACGGAGCAACGCCGCGUGAGUGAUGAAGGUCUUCGGAUCGUAAAACUCUGUUAUUAGGGAAGAACAAAUGUGUAAGUAACUAUGCACGUCUUGACGGUACCUAAUCAGAAAGCCACGGCUAACUACGUG